ACUCCUACGGGAGGCAGCAGUGGGGAAUUUUGGACACUGGGCGAAAGCCUGAUCCAGCAAUGCCGCGUGAGUGAAGAAGGCCUUCGGGUUGUAAAGCUCUUUUGUCAGGGAAGAAACGGUGAGAGCUAAUAUCUUUUGCUAAUGACGGUACCUGAAGAAUAAGCACCGGCUAACUACGUGCCAGCAGCCGCGGUAAUACGUAGGGUGCAAGCGUUAAUCGGAAUUACUGGGCGUAAAGCGUGCGCAGGCGGUUUUGUAAGUCUGAUGUGAAAUCCCCGGGCUCAACCUGGGAAUUGCAUUGGAGACUGCAAGGCUAGAAUCUGGCAGAGGGGGGUAGAAUUCCACGUGUAGCAGUGAAAUGCGUAGAUAUGUGGAGGAACACCGAUGGCGAAGGCAGCCCCCUGGGUCAAGAUUGACGCUCAUGCACGAAAGCGUGGGGAGCAAACAGGAUUAGAUACCCGAGUAGUCCCAUG
rnacentral:rRNA from 1 species